rnacentral:rRNA from 1 species
UGGCGACCGGUGCACGGGUGAGUAACACGUAUCCAACCUGCCGAUGACUCGGGGAUAGCCUUUCGAAAGAAAGAUUAAUACCCGAUGGCAUAGUUCUUCCGCAUGGUAGAACUAUUAAAGAAUUUCGGUCAUCGAUGGGGAUGCGUUCCAUUAGGCAGUUGGUGGGGUAAUGGCCCACCAAACCUUCGAUGGAUAGGGGUUCUGAGAGGAAGGUCCCCCACAUUGGAACUGAGACACGGUCCAAACUCCUACGGGAGGCAGCAUG